rnacentral:rRNA from 1 species
CACGUAGGCGGAUCAGUCAGUCAGAGGUGAAAUCCCGGAGCUCAACUUCGGAACUGCCUUUGAUACUGCUGAUCUGGAGUUCAUGAGAGGUGUGUGGAAUUCCGAGUGUAGAGGUGAAAUUCGUAGAUAUUCGGAGGAACACCAGAGGCGAAGGCGACACACUGGCAUGAUACUGACGCUGAGGUGCGAAAGCGUGGGGAGCAAACA